rnacentral:tRNA from 1 species
GGACGGUAAGUUUAGAUGGCUGAAACACUGCGGAGGUGCACCNNNGCAGAGAGGCGGGUUCGACUUCCGCACCGUCCACCA